GAUGAAGAACGUAGCGAAAUGCGAUAAGUAAUGUGAAUUGCAGAAUUCAGUGAAUCAUCGAAUCUUUGAACGCACAUUGCGCCCGCCAGUAUUCUGGCGGGCAUGCCUGUUCGAGCGUCAUUUCAACCCUCAAGCCCCUGGGCUUGGUGUUGGGGAUCGGCGUGCCCUCGCGGCGCGCCGUCCCCUAAAUCUAGUGGCGGUCUCGCUGUAGCUUCCUCUGCGUAGUAGCAACACUCGCACUGGAUCGCAGCGCGGCCACGCCGUUAAACCCCCCACUUCUGAAAGUUUGACCUCGGAUCAGGUAGGAAUACCCGCUGAACUUAAGCAUAUCAAUAAGCGGAGGA
rnacentral:misc_RNA from 1 species